UACAGAGGUCUCAAGCGUUGUUCGGAUUCAUUGGGCGUAAAGGGUGUGUAGGUGGCGCGCUAAGUCGGGUGUGAAAUUUCGGAGCUUAACUCCGAAACUGCAUUCGAUACUGGCGUGCUUGAGGACUGGAGAGGAGACUGGAAUUCAUGGUGUAGCAGUGAAAUGCGUAGAGAUCGGAAGGAACGCCCGUGGCGAAAGCGAGGUCCUGGACGUCUACUGACGCUGAGACGCGAAAGCUAGGGGAGCGAACGGG
rnacentral:rRNA from 1 species